rnacentral:rRNA from 1 species
CACGUAGGGGGCGAGCGUUGUCCGGAUUUAUUGGGCGUAAAGAGCUCGUAGGCGGCUCGGUAAGUCGGGUGUGAAAACUUAGGGCUCAACCCUGAGACGCCACUCGAUACUGCCGUGGCUAGAGUCCGGUAGGGGAGCGUGGAAUUCCUGGUGUAGCGGUGAAAUGCGCAGAUAUCAGGAGGAACACCAGCGGCGAAGGCGGCGCUCUGGGCCGGUACUGACGCUGAGGAGCGAAAGCGUGGGGAGCAAA